rnacentral:misc_RNA from 1 species
GAUGAAGAACUAGCGAAAUGCGAUAAGUAAUGUGAAUUGCAGAAUUCAGUGAAUCAUCGAAUCUUUGAACGCACCUUGCACCCUUUGGCAUUCUGAAGGGUAUGCUCGUUUGAGUGUCAUUGUACUCUCACACUCCCGAUCUUUGCAUUGGGAGCAGUGGACUUGGGUUUGCUGCUUCACCGUCGCUUACCUCAAAUAGGUUAGUGCAACUCUUGGUUGGACAUAGUACGGCGUGAUAAGUGUUCUUCGCCGGUGCCUCGCAAAGAGGGUGGCCGAUCGGGAUGUUGUGCUCCAAACCGUCUUCGGACAAUCUCUGACGACUUGACCUCAAAUCGAGUAAGACUACCCGCUGAACUUAAGCAUAUCAAUAAGCGGAGGA